rnacentral:rRNA from 1 species
UAGCAUAAUCAUUAGUUUUUUAAUUGAAAACUGGAAUGAAAGGUUUAAUAAAAAAUAUUCUUUAUUAGUAAUAAAAAAUUGAAUUUAUUAUUUUAGUAAAAAAACUAAGAUUUAAAUAAAAGACGAUAAGACCCUAUAAAGCUUAAUAAUAAAAUUUUUAUAAAUAUAUAGAAAGUUUUAUUUAUUAGUAUUGAUUUAUUUGAUUGGGGUGAUUAUAAGAUUUAUUAAACUCUUUUGAAAAUUUUUAAUAUUAUUUAAUUUUGUUGUUUGAUCUAGAAAUAUUUUGAUAAAAAAAUUAAGUUACUUUAGGGAUAACAGCGUAAUUUUUUUAAAGAGUUCAAAUCGAAAAAAAAGAUUGCGACCUCGAUGUUGAAUUAAGAUAAAAUUUAGGUGUAGAAGUUUAAAUUUU